GGCUCAGGAUGAACGCUAGCUACAGGCUUAACACAUGCAAGUCGAGGGGCAGCAUCGGUGGAUGCUUGCAUUCACCGAUGGCGACCGGCGUAUGGGUGAGUAACGCGUAUCCAACCUGGCGUGCACACCGGCACAGCCCCUGGAAACGGGGAUUAAUUCCGGGAUGGUGUGGAUUAGGCGCAUGCCUUGUCCACUAAAGGUCUUCCGGUGCACGAUGGGGAUGCGUUCCAUUAGGCAGUUGGCGGGGUAACGGCCCACCAAGCCUUCGAUGGAUAGGGGUUCUGAGAGGACGGUCCCCCACACUGGUACUGAGACACGGACCAGACUCCUACGGGAGGCAGCAGUAAGGAAUAUUGGGCAAUGGAGGCAACUCUGACCCCAGCCAUGCCGCGUGAAGGAUGGAGGCCCUACGGGUCGUAAACUUCUUUUGUCAGGGAAUAAAGUCGCCUACGUGUAGGCGUUUGCAGGUACCUGAAGAAUAAGCAUCGGCUAACUCCGUG
rnacentral:rRNA from 1 species